rnacentral:rRNA from 1 species
GACGAACGCUGGCGGCGUGCCUAAUACAUGCAAGUCGAACGCAGUGGGGACGGGUGAGUACCACGUGGGUAACCUCCCAUCAGAGGGGAUAACACUUUGAAACAGGUGCUAAACCUAUACUGAUGGAUUGCCCCUCGGUGCCUUAGCUAGUUGGGGAGGUCACGACUCACCAAGGCCACGUUGCAUAGCCGACCUGCGAGGGUGAUCGGCCACACUGGGACUGAGACACGGCCCAGACUCCUACGGGAGGCAGCAGUAGGGAAUCUUCGGCAAUGGACGAAAGUCUGACCGAGCAACGCCGCGUGAGUGAAGAAGGUUUUCGGAUCGUAAAACUCUGUUGUUAGAGAAGCGUUAUCUAACCAGAAAGCCACGGCUAACGACGUGCCAGCAGCCGCGGUAAUAC